rnacentral:rRNA from 1 species
GACGAACGCUGGCGGCGUGCCUAAUACAUGCAAGUCGAACGCACUCUCGUUUAGAUUGAAGGAGCUUGCUCCUGAUUGAUAAACAUUUGAGUGAGUGGCGGACGGGUGAGUAACACGUGGGUAACCUGCCCUAAAGUGGGGGAUAACAUUUGGAAACAGAUGCUAAUACCGCAUAAAACCUAAACACCGCAUGGUGUAGGGUUGAAAGAUGGUUUCGGCUAUCACUUUAGGAUGGACCCGCGGUGCAUUAGUUAGUUGGUGAGGUAAAGGCGUCACCAAGACCGUGAUGCAUAGCGACCUGAGAGGGUAAUCGGCCACACUGGGACUGAGACACGGCCCAGACUCCUACGGGAGGCAGCAGUAGGGAAUCUUCCA